rnacentral:rRNA from 1 species
GAUGAACGCUGGCGGCGUGCCUAAUACAUGCAAGUCGAGCGAAUGGAUUAAGAGCUUGCUCUUAUGAAGUUAGCGGCGGACGGGUGAGUAACACGUGGGUAACCUGCCCAUAAGACUGGGAUAACUCCGGGAAACCGGGGCUAAUACCGGAUAACAUUUUGAACCGCAUGGUUCGUAAUUGAAAGGCGGCUUCCGCUGUCACUUAUGGAUGGACCCGCGUCGCAUUAGCUAGUGGGUGAGGUAACGGCUCAACAAGGCAACGAUGCGUCAGCGGACCUGAGAGGGUGAUCGGCCACACUGGGACUGAGACACGGCCCAGACUCCUACGGGAGGCAGCAGUAGGGAAUCUUCCGCAAUGGACGAAAGUCUGACGGAGCAACGCCGCGUGAGUGAUGAAGGCUUUCGGGUCGUAAAACUCUGUUGUUAGGGAAGAACAAGUGCUAGUUGAAUAAGCUGGCACCUUGACGGUACCUAACCAGAAAGCCACGGCUAACUACGUGCCAGCCGCCGCCGUAA